CGGAAUGGUAAGUUAGGGGUGAAAACCAUGGGCUUAACUUAUGGCCUGCCUUUAAAACUGCCAUUCUUGAGUACGGUAGAGGGAAGCGGAAUUCCUGGUGUAGCGGUGAAAUGCGUAGAUAUCAGGAAGAACACCGGUAGCGAAGGCGGUUUCCUGGACCGCAACUGACGCUGAGGCGCGAAAGCGAGGGGAGCAAACAGGAUUAGAUACCCUGGUAGUCCACGCUGUAAACGAUGGGCACUAGGUGUUGGUCGGCCGAAAAGCGGAUCAGUGCCGCAGCUAACGCAUUAAGUGCCCCGCCUGGGGAGUACGAUCGCAAGGUUGAAACUCAAAGGAAUUGACGGGGGCCCGCACAAGCGGUGGAGCAUGUGGUUUAAUUCGAUGCAACGCGAAGAACCUUACCUGGGCUUGAAGUGCAGCCGAAAACCGCCGAAAGGUGGUCCUCCUUCGGGACGGCUGUAGAGGUGCUGCAUGGCUGUCGUCAGCUCGUGCCGUGAGGUGUUGGGUUAGGUCCCGCAACGAGCGCAACCCUUGUCCUUAGUUGCCAUCAGGUUAUGCUGGGCACUCUAAGGGGACUGCCCCGAAUAACGGGGAGGAAGGUGGGGAUGACGUCAAGUCCUCAUGGCCCUUACGUCCAGGGCUACACACGUGCUACAAUGGCUGGUACAGUGGGAUGCAAUACCGCGAGGUGGAGCCAAUCCUCAGAACCGGUCUCAGUUCGGAUUGGAGUCUGCAACUCGACUCCACGAAGUCGGA
rnacentral:rRNA from 1 species